rnacentral:tRNA from 1 species
CGCGGGAUGGAGCAGUCUGGUAGCUCGUCGGGCUCAUAACCCGAAGGUCGGAGGUUCGAAUCCUUCCCCCGCUA